GGCGCGGUCGUCGCCAUGGCCGCCGGCAACUGGAUGCGCCUCAUUUUUGAAUCGUGUGCAGAUCACCCGCACCGGAUGCAUCCCUCUCCAUGGCCGCCCACAGCCAGGGGCUUGCUCGUCGCCUUGUCCGCGGCAACUGGACGCGCGCCCUCUCCAUGGCAACCGCAGCCAGAGCUUCGCUAGUCGCCAUGACUAACCUGCAAUCAGCCGCGGCGGCGACGAGUUUGUGCUGGAGCCCAGGGUUGCUGGAACCAGGUGUCCCGAUUUGCGGGAAGCAUUUGGUGGACGUGCUGCAAGGUUGACAGCUCGCCGGAGGAAGCUGCAUCCAGCGGCGAGGAGGGCUGCAUCCAACGUCGUUCAAACGCCGGGAGUUGCAACCAUGUACGAUGCAUGUCGAUGGAGGCCAGCAGAGACGGCGACGCCUGCGCCGAGCUCGACGACGGGGACAAAAG